AGCGCGGGAACGGGCCGGGGAGGCCAGGGCCUUCCGGACCCGCGCCCGCCCGCCCGCCUGAGGCGAACAGAAAACGUCUGCGCAGGGUUUUAAGCCAGGCUGGGAAGAAGCGGGUCCGUGCAAACAACAGACAGGGGAGCCGUUCGGGCCGCUCCUGCUCCCCCUGGCAUCGACACGAAACUCGCGUGGACGUGGACUUCGAGAAAGAACUUUCAAGAACCAGCAAAGAAAAUAUGUCAAAACUCCAAAUUCUAAAGAGCUAGCCCAUCUGGGCAGAGCAACAAGAUUACAAUCAAGAAUGAUGCAGAGAAGCCAUGUAAUGAAAGCCAAGACCACACUGGGACUCCAUGAUGCAACUGUCAAAAGCCCCUUAUGAAGAGGAGCCAAGGGCAACUUUCAGACUUGAGAACCUCUGCAACAAGUCAGAUCUGCUACACUUUAGUAUUGGGCAACCAUCAUGGUGCGAUGAUCUGCUAAGCCUGAAAAUGAAGAUUUAUGCUGGAAAGCCUGGCAGACCCUAAAAUGCAGCAUUGCAAGUCGUGGGAAUGUAAUAAUGUGCCCAUUGGAAAACUGAGAGCUGAUCCAAUAGCUCAUGGAUCCAUGUUUGGAAACGGUUGUUGUGUUCCAGGUGAUAAAGAAGCAAAUGGCCAUGAAGCCUUCCAGUCUAAGCACCUGAGAGAAAUCCAGAGCCAAGCAUUUCCUCCAGGAAUGCUCAAGACAUGUAUCCAUUUGAUUUCACUGGUGAUACUGGAGUCAGAUGCUGUCCAGCUGUGACAUGAGAGAUGUCUGAGAAGUAACAGUAAAGCUGUGGCAGUUUUUCUGGAGGAGGGAGAAAAGACUGACUUACUCUGUGGAAGAACCUGGGCUUAGUAAAGAUAUAGAUUCAGUACUGAAGAGUACAGAGCUCAGCAGGUUGAGAAGUUCUGUUCAGAUACGUGCUGAAAAGUCUGAUGCAUACAUGAAAAAUAACUGUCCUAUUCUGAACAUCUCAGGACAAAUCAAUCUCUGGUAUAACUGUCUUGUUACCCCAGGUAUUAAUUUGACCGUGUGGCCCUGUGGGACGAAGUCAACUGGCGUGGUCCAGCCAUGGGUGUCUAAUUGCAGUGUAGACAUAGUCUCUGGGUCAAAUCUGCAGAGUAGAUCACAGUAGGAGCAUCUGUAAAAAUGCCCUCAUAUCUGUGGUGCUGGUAAAACUCUGCAUUUGUCUGUGCAAAUGAGCAUUUGCACAUACACAAUGGAUCUUUGCCUAAGUGCUUGUUUGCAUGCCUAAUUGCCCACUUUGCAUGCACAAAAGUGGUGCUUUGCAGCACAGCAGGCGCAUACACAUGUUAUAACUGCACCUGUUGGUCUUGAUUUGAAAGUCCAUACAUACCUCCUGUACACUAGCCCCACUGCCAAGAUGUGUACUGCAGGGCUCUGGAUUGACAGGAGGCAGGAUAGUCCUGUGUCUUGGUGAGGUGCUAGAAGCUGAGAAUGGCCCAGCUUGAAACUAUCUUUUGAGUCUCUCACAUAAAACCACUUCCUUACAGCUUCCCAUCAUUUUACUGCAGUUAGUUUUAGCCGCCCUCACCAUUGCUUCUUGAUGUCACUUCUGAAGAGCUGGGGGAGUAAAUCAUGGGGCUGAGGGAAGAUGGGAGAAAAAAGCUGGUACCAGCAGCACAUGCUCAGGGUCAGGCUUUCAAUAAAACAUCUGUUCCCUGGGAGUCACCUGAAGCUAUGAUCCACAUGAAAACACAAAAGGCAAGUGAAAACUGAUAAGACACUAAUAUAUUUGGGCUUCCCUGCGUUACAUGUUCUAAAAAGAAAAGAUAAGAAAGCGGAUCGUAGAUGUUCCUGCCUUUCAAAUGCACAGAGAGCAGAGCCACAAGUAGAAGCUGCAGUAUUUAUGGGAGACAGAAGAACAUCCCUUUCAUCUCUGGCGUUUGAAAUUUUCUUUCAGAGUUACCUGUGGGACAAUGGUACACAGAGCUCGCCCGCAUACACUGUAUAAUUCACACAACAGAAACUACAUUAAAAGAAUGUUGUGCUUAGAAAUCAAACCCACUAGAACAAGCCAAGAAAUGCUUUAGAGUGAAAGACCUAAGCAACUACUGGAUGCACAGCAAAGGAACCUCCAAGUGAAAAUCCCAUUGUGCCUAGGCACUCAUGAUGGGAUUCAGAAUGACAAAUUCCUGACAUACUUUUGGGAUGUCAUCUGGCUUAUAUCUCCCUUGAACCCAGUAUAGAUACCCUAUCCUCUUUGCUCCAUGUAAACAGCAUCCUCCUUUGUAUGUGAUAUAGGCUCAGGGCUUGAUUUUCAAAUGUACUUGUACAGUUACUGUGAUUGCACACACAAUUGGGUAUUUGUAAACAUAAAUGCUCAUUUACUUGUCACACUGGCCAUUUGCAUUCAUAAAUAUCCAGUUUGCAUGUAUAAUCUAAAUAAAUGUGUGUGAAAAUUAAGCACACAAUUGUACAUACGCAGGAACCUGAUAUUCAUAUGUGGUGUGAGGGAGUGAGACCCCCACUGAAAUCAACGGAAUUUCACCCAUUUACAGUAAGUCUAAAUUUGACACUCAAUGUUCUUUCUGCUAGGGACAAAAUUUCAAACCUGGCACACCCACAAAAAUGCACAUGCAUCCACUGCCCUUCAGUGUAAUGGGUACACUGGAAAAAUGUGCAUUGCACCCUCCAC